GCGCUCAUUGGGGCUUGGUCUCUUCCUUGUGGUCCUGACCUGCCUUCCCUGAGCGAGAGCAACAGAACUGGUUUUGGGGGUCUCCUGUCUGAGUAGACUGGGAGACCAUGGUUUUCAGUGCGACA
rnacentral:snoRNA from 12 species